AUCUUAAGGGCAUAUCCAACAGUUUCAGGGGAGGUAAUAACAAACGUAAACGUCGUCUAUUGUUUCCCGUAAUUUAAAGUUGUUUCAACGACGUCAUAACGGAAUCACCAUUGGAAUUGCUAUGGCCCUCUGGAAAGGGAGGGUUCUUUCAUCAAAGGAAAGAGCACGGUGGGAAUCGGCAAAAAAACUCAUACAGAAUAUUAACGGAAAUUAGAACUCAAAUCUUUAAAGAUAUGUUUGUCCUCUUGGUCUAUCAUAAAAGAAAUGCACUUAUCUUGAUCAUUAUAGAAAGUUUCCGUUUUAUUGAAAUUAUCGUCAAUAUAUUCAGUAAGGAACAAC
rnacentral:lncRNA from 1 species